rnacentral:rRNA from 1 species
AUACGUAGGGGGCGAGCGUUGUUCGGAAUUACUGGGCGUAAAGCGCACGCAGGCGGACCAGUAAGUCUGUCGUCAAAGGCGGAGGCUCAACCUUCGUUCCACGAUAGAUACUGCGGGUCUAGAGUAUGUGAGAGGCAAUCGGAAUUCCUAGUGUAGCGGUGAAAUGCGUAGAUAUUAGGAGGAACACCAGUGGCGAAGGCGGAUUGCUGGACGACAACUGACGGUGAGGCGCGAAAGCGUGGGGAGCAAACAGGAUUAGAUACCCUGGUAGUCCACGCUGUAAACGAUGGAUACUAGGUGUGGGGGGUCUGACCCCCUCCGUGCCGCAGUUAACACAAUAAGUAUCCCACCUGGGGAGUACGAUCGCAAGGUUGAA